rnacentral:tRNA from 1 species
UCCUCGAUAGCUCAAUUGGCAGAGCAGCCGGCUGUUAACCGGCAGGUUCCAAGUUCGAAUCUUGGUCGAGGAG